CAGUCGCCGCGGGAAUACGUAGGUGGCAAGCGUUGUCCGGAAUUAUUGGGCGUAAAGGGCUCGCAGGCGGUUUCUUAAGUCUGAUGUGAAAGCCCCCGGCUCAACCGGGGAGGGUCAUUGGAAACUGGGAAACUUGAGUGCAGAAGAGGAGAGUGGAAUUCCACGUGUAGCGGUGAAAUGCGUAGAGGUGUGGAGGAACACCAGUGGCGAAGGCGACUCUCUGGUCUGUAACUGACGCUGAGGAGCGAAAGCGUGGGGAGCGAACAGGAUUAGAGACCCCAGUAGUCCCUGUCUCUUAUAC
rnacentral:rRNA from 1 species